UACUAGAGUAGCACUCGCAUAUCAAUAAGCGGAGGAAAAGAAACUAACUAGGAUUCCCUCAGUAACGGCGAGUGAAGCGGGAAGGGCUCAAAUUUGAAAUCUUCAAGGUUCUACCUUGACGAAUUGUAGUUUAAAGAAGUGUUUUCUGUUGGAGUUUUGGUAAAAGUUCUUUGGAAUAGGACAUCAUAGAGGGUGAGAAUCCCGUAUUUGACCAUUAUUUCCAACUUUGUGAUACACUUUCAAAGAGUCGGAUUGUUUGGGAAUGCGGUCCAAAAUGGGUGGUAAAUUUCAUCUAAAGCUAAAUACUGGCGAGAGACCGAUAGCGAACAAGUACCGUGAGGGAAAGAUGAAAAGAACUUUGAAAAGAGAGUUAAACAGUACGUGAAAUUGUCAAAAGGGAAGCGUUUGACACCAGUGUUGUUUAGUUGAAAAUCAAUUCAAUAGUUUUUGAUUUUAAGUAGUAUUGACUUCAUCAGCUUGCUGCUUUCUUUUCGGAAAUUAUUGAAUGCACUUUUCAGUUAACAAGUCAACAUCAAUUUCUUUCGUUGUAAAAGGGUAAGAGGAAGGUGGCUUACGCUUCGGCGUAAGUGUUUAUAGCCUUUUACCUCCGCAAUCGGAGAGAUUGAGGACAGCAGCGUAGACUCUUCGGGGUUAGAUACACUUGUGCUAAGCUAUAGCCUUGUAUAGACAACUUGUUGACUAUGCUCAAUCCUGUAACUUACUCGCUUAUGCUAUUUUACCUACGCUUAGGAUGUUGAUAUGCAUGACUGAUAU
rnacentral:rRNA from 1 species